UGCGAGCGUUAAUCGGAAUUACUGGGCGUAAAGCGCGCGUAGGCGGUUAUUUAAGUGAGGUGUGAAAUCCCCUGGGCUCAACCUAGGAACUGCAUUUCAAACUGGAUAACUUGAGUAUGUCAGAGGGUAUUGGAAUUUCCCCGUGUAGCAGUGAAAUGCGUAGAUAUGGGAAGGAACAUCAGUGGCGAAGGCGAAUACCUGGGAUAAUACUGACGCUGAGGUGCGAAAGCGUGGGGAGCAAACGGGAUUAGAUACCCUGGUAG
rnacentral:rRNA from 1 species